GUCAAACAUUGCGCAUGCUCAAGAUUGAAAACCAAGAUGGCGGACGUUCUACCACAUGGAAGCAUAAACAAGAGAGGAAAAUGGGAGAAAAGUGCACUUUAAUUUCUUGCCAUUGAGUAAUGUUUAUAAUCUAAAGAAAGAGAAAAGGUUCCUUUCGCCCCUGAUCAUUUAUUUUACCGAUCUAUGCUUCAGCGACUUUUAUAAGGGAUGCGAAACGAAGCGGAGUGCAGCUUUACCAACAAGGGCACCAAAAGUUCCAUGCAAAUGGCUAUCAAGGAGAAGCACUUCAUUCCCUCUUCCAAGGAAACAUACAGAUAAGCCAUUGAUUAUUACGAUUGCAGCGAUAUUGGGUUCUCUCACUAGACGCUGGAGGUAGAACCUAAGUGAUGACUGUGGGACUUGUGGAUUCUGACACACAAAGUCUACAUCAAAGGAGUCUUCUACCGUGAUUGUGCCAAUUGAAGAUAGAUGCACAGCAGCAUCUUGAACACUGAAAUUAAUAGCCCGGCCUCCUGUGACUUGUUGGUGAACUCUAUUUCCAUGAGAAAUGCAAUUACACAUAAUCACUCCCCAAACUGGUGACAACUGGGCAAUUGGAAAUGCAAGUGUUCCUAAAUUAGAAAUGACUGUUUUGGCUAAAAUAAUAGCAAUAAAAGUGCAGGCAUUUGA